GGGGGGUUUGUCACCGUCACAGGGGAUUUGUCACCAUCCCGGGGGGUUUGUCACCGUCACAGGGGAUUUGUCACCAUCCCGGGGGAUUUGUCACCGUCACAGGGGGUUUGUCACCGUCCCGGGGGGAUUUGUCACCGUCACAGGGGGGUUUGUCACUGUCCCGGGGGAUUUGUCACCAUCCCAGGGGAUUUGUCACCAUCCCGGGGGAUUUGUCACCAUCAUGGGGGGAUUUGUCACCGUCCCAGGGGAUUUGUCACCGUCCCAGGGGGGUUUGUCACUGUCCCGGGGGAUUUGUCACCGUCCCAGGGGAUUUGUUACUGUCCUGGGGGGAUUUGUCACCAUCCCGGGGGAUUUGUCACCGUCACAGGGGAUUUGUCACCAUCCCGGGGGGAAUUGUCACCAUCCUGGGGGGUUUGUCACCGUCACAGGGGAUUUGUCACCGUCCCAGGGGAUUUGUUACUGUCCUGGGGGGAUUUGUCACCAUCCCAGGGGAUUUGUCACCCUCCCAGGGGGAUUUGUCACCAUCCUGGGGGGAUUUGUCACCAUCCUGGGGGAUUUGUCACCGUCCCAGGGGGGUUGUCACUGUCCCAGGGGGAUUUGUCACCGUCACAGGGGGAUUUGUCACCAUCCCGGGGGAUUUGUCACCGUCACAGGGGGGUUGUCACUGUCCCAGGGGGAUUUGUCACCGUCACAGGGGGGUUGUCACCGUCCUGGGGGGAUUUGUCACCGUCACAGGGGGGUUGUCACUGUCCCAGGGGGAUUUGUCACCGUCCUGGGGGGUUUGUCACCGUCCUGAGGGGGUUUGUCACUGUCAUGAGGAGGUGACACCCUCCUGGGGGACGUGCCACCACCCUGGAGGACAUGCCACCACCACUCUGAGGGAUUUGUCACCCUCCCAGGGGAUUUGUCACCCUCUUGAGGGACAUGCCACUACCCUGGGGGAGCUGUCACCAUCCCGGGGAAUUUGUCACCAUCCCGAGGGAUUUGUCACCAUCCCAGGGGGACAUGCCACCACCCUGAGGGACCUGUCACCAUCCUGGGGAAUUUGUCACCAUCCCAAAGGAUUUGUCACCCACCUUGGGGGACCUGCCACCACCCCGAGGGGACGUGCCACCACCCUGGCAUGUCCCAGGUGCCUGUCACCCCCCACCCCGGUCACCUCUGUCCCCACAGGAGUGUCCUCGGGUGUCCCAGCCCGUUACUGGUCCCCCGUCAUCUUCGUGGCGCUGGCCCUGCUCGUGCUCUUCGUCACCUACCACAGGAACAAGGACAAAGGGAUCCGGGACCGGGCCACGAGCGGCAGUGACUCCUCGGAUUUGGGAGCGCUGGUCCAGCCCCAGGAGCCCAUCCCAAAAAUCCCGGCCCGACAGGUGAGCCCGGGACGGGAAAAAUCCCGGGAAUUGGGAAGGGGCAAAGCCGGGAAUUCCCAAGGCCGGCUGCUCCGUGGAAUUCCUGACUCUUUUCCAGGGGGAAAGGAAGGAUCCCGAGACCCCCCCGGAACACGGCGAGACCACCCUCGGCCAGCCCCGGGACACGGAAUUCCCGGGAUGAAGGGGAUUCC
ensembl:lncRNA